GAUGAACGCUGGCGGCGUGCUUAACACAUGCAAGUCGAACGAUGAAAGCGGGAGCUUGCUCCUGCUGGAUUAGUGGCGAACGGGUGAGUAACACGUGAGCAAUCUGCCCCGAACUCUGGGAUAAGCGUUGGAAACGACGUCUAAUACCGGAUACGACGCGCGAAGGCAUCUUCUGCGCGUGGAAAGAAUUUCGGUUCGGGAUGAGCUCGCGGCCUAUCAGCUAGUUGGUGAGGUAACGGCUCACCAAGGCGACGACGGGUAGCCGGCCUGAGAGGGUGACCGGCCACACUGGGACUGAGACACGGCCCAGACUCCUACGGGAGGCAGCAGUGGGGAAUAUUGCACAAUGGGCGCAAGCCUGAUGCAGCAACGCCGCGUGAGGGACGACGGCCUUCGGGUUGUAAACCUCUUUUAGCAGGGAAGAAGCGAAAGUGACGGUACCUGCAGAAAAAGCACCGGCUAACUACGUGCCAGCAGCCGCGGUAAAAC
rnacentral:rRNA from 1 species